ACUGCUCAGUAACACGUAGUUAAUCUGCCCUUAGGACGGGUAUACCCCUGGGAAACUGGGGCUAAUUCUCGGUAGGCGAGAAUGCCUGGAAUGGCGUCCCGCUGAGAAGCUUUUAGGAACAUGCUUCUAGAAAUGCCUAAGGAUGAGACUGCGUCCGAUCAGGCCGUUGGUGAGGUAACGGCUCACCAAACCUAUAACCGGUAUGGGCCCUGAAAGGGGAAGCCCAGAGAUGGGAACUGAGACAAGGUCCCAGGCCCUACGGGGCGCAGCAGGCGCGAAAACUUCGCAAUGCGCGAAAGCGUGACGGGGUUACCCCGAGUGCCGUCCGUAAGGAUGGCUUUUCCCCAGUGUAAGAAGCUGAGGGAAUAAAGGGGGGGCAAGUCUGGUGUCAGCCGCCGCGGUAAUACCAGCCCCCUGAGUGAUAGGGACGAUUAUUUAGCUUAAAGCGUCCGUAGCUGGCUUAGCUAGUCUUUCGUUAAAUCUGACGACUUAAUCGCCAGGCCGCGGAAGAUACUGCUAGGCUUGAGGGCGGGAGAGGUUGACGGUAGUCCGGGGGUAGGGGUGAAAUCCUAUAAUCCCUGGAGGACCACCAGUGGCGAAGGCGGUCAACUAGAACGCGCCUGACGGUGAGGGACGAAAGCUGGGGGAGCGAACCGGAUUAGACACCCGGGUAGUCCCAGCUGUAAACGAUGCAGGCUAGGUGUUGGGGCAGCCACGAGCUGCUCUAGUGCCGCAGAGAAAUUGUUAAGCCUGCCGCUUGGGAAGUACGGUCGCAAGGCUGAAACUUAAAGGAAUUGGCGGGGGAGCAC
rnacentral:rRNA from 1 species